GACGAACGCUGGCGGCGUGCUUAACACAUGUAAGUCGAACGAAGUGGCGAACGGGUGAGUAACGCGUAAUCAACCUGCCCUUCAGAGGGGGACAACAGUUGGAAACGACUGCUAAUACCGCAUACUGAAGGAGGGGAUUGAGUCUGCUUAGCUAGUUGGAGGGGUAACGGCCCACCAAGGCGAGGAUCAGUAGCCGGUCUGAGAGGAUGAACGGCCACAUGUGGACUGAGAAACGGCCCAGACUCCUACGGGAGGCAGCAGUGGGGAAUCUUCCGAAAUGGACGAAAGUCUGACGGAGCAACGCCGCGUGAGUGAUGACGGCCUGCGGGUUUUAAAGCUCUGUUAAUCGGGACGCGGUACCGGAAUAGAAAGCCACGGCUAACUACGUGCCAGCAGCCGCGGUAAUAC
rnacentral:rRNA from 1 species